CUUAAAACAUUUUGCUGCCUGAGAAAUCCCUCUAUCAAGUAUGACGAAAUUAUACCAAAUAUAAAUUUAAAGCUGUUCAAAGGAUAAACAACGAGUUUGUAGUCCUUUAUUAAAGCAAAGGAAGGAUUAGAGAAUAUUAAUAAUCACAUUAAGAAACUUGUGACCUGGUUCAAUCCUGAGCUCGGGUUACCGUGUGUGUAGAGUCCCCCAUGUUCUCGGUGUGUCCGUACGGGUUCCCUUCAAUUCUCUGCUUUCCUCCUAUCUCCAAAACAACAUGGACGUAUGCAGACUGACGAUGUUAAAUUACCCCUGGGUGUGAGUGGGUGUGUGAAUGUGUGGCCUUGGACCGGCGUUCCAUCCAGGGUGUAUUCCCACCUCACACAAAGUGUUUGUAGGAUAGACUCCGCCUCCACCAGGAUAAAGCAGAUCCUGAGGAUGAAUGAAUGAAAACUCUAAAGAUCACACUACAUAAAUCUACUUCAUUCCCAGUGUUCCUGGGAUAAGGAUCUGGAUCCAGCGAUAUCCUGACCAGGAUGAAGUGCUUGCUGAAAAUGAAUGAAUGAAUAAAUGACUGGCGUCUCAUUUAAGGAGCGAGACGGCGAGAGAUGACUCCAGACUUAUGAAUGACUCUAUGAAGCCAGAGUUCGGAGUGAGUCAAACUUCCUCAGCUUGUUCGCCAAAAACAAAAAAAAAAGACCAUGUACACAAUGAAUUUGGACACUUUUGUAUAAGCAAGCAUGACCUAGAAAAAAAAAACAGAUAGUACAGUGCGACGAGAAGGAAGAAAGUUUGUGCUGCUCUUGAUGAUCGAAGAGCGACUCCAGGAGACGGGAGAGAUCUUCGAGAAGACUUGGACGGAGAGAAGAAAACUGAGAGGGAGAAAAGGCGCUGAUUGACGUACUUGCUCACAGUGACUCAGUGAGUGGAUGGAGGACCGUGAAAGUUCAUGUUGGGAAUAGUAUGAUGCGAGUGAAGAGGGGGCCGCAGCCGUUCUGUCUCCUACCACACAGCAUACGGACCGGCAUGUGCACUCGCACGUCACUCCGCUGGCCACGGCAACCGCCGUAGAAACGGCCUCCACUCAUCCCUGCCGCGUGUCCUCCUCCUUCUCCUUCGUCCUGCACUUCGCUAAUAGAAACACAUGAAAGACGUGCGUUAAAAAAACAAAACGAAAAAAAAAGCACACAAUUCAGAGAGAAAUCACAGGUACGCAAUUAGUCGAUUAACCAUGCGAGACAUAGUUGACAUAAUUGUAUGAUGCUAAUCGCCGUACAAGGAAGGAACUCUACCUGUUCUGUAAAUAAGUUAACAUAUAUUUGCCUCAAAUGUCAAGAAUGCUACAUAUUUUACACGUAUUUAAAGAGCGGGGGUUGACAGAUCGCUAGCUCGGCUAAUCGGGACAGGUAGAUUAUAUAUUACAUAUCCAAGCUAAUCGACGAAAAUGUUUAUCUGAUGUGUAGAGAAAAAAAAAAUACAGAACCAGAAUGAUUAUAGAACGAUGUUUUUAGCUUUAGCUAUAUAGUUAGAAAGGCUAACUCGGUAUCCGCUAUAAUGUUGUGAUGAACCAAAGAGUUUUGAAUGCUCUGGUAUGUUUGAAAAACGGCUAAGAAGGUGAGAAUGCAAGCUGAGAUUAAGAUACUGAAAUUCCAGGUAGCUAUCGCUAGUAUUUAGCCAGCUAGUUGUGCUUAUGUUUGCUCAUGACAUAGAUUAUAUAGAGCGGAAGAGCAAGAAAUAGCAUAAACGUGAUAAAGCUCUUUGUGCGAAACUAUGCUGCGUUCAACAUCAUUUAUCAACCUCGGUGUGAGGGGAAACAAGCCUGAAUGCGGCAGUGUUUGUGUUAUGUUAGCAACACGCUAGUCAGCGAGCUAGCUGAUGAGUGAUGUCUGUUUUUUUUCCUCCUCAAAACGGUGAACUGUGUAGUCAGUGUUAUAGAUUUAACGAGCGAAUACGUCUGUAGGUCGAUAGCUCUAAAGCAAGUAUUUGUUUAUACACCCUGAUGAAAAAAACAAUAGAAACCAUUAAUGAAAUCCUAAUGGUUUCCUCUACAAAUACCAUUACAAAAAAUAAGCUAACCAUUUAAAAGCAUUACCCUUACUGUACCAUUAUUUGUCCUUAAUGGUGUCCACUAGACAUGCUAUGCACCACCAAUAAAGCAACAAAUUACCAGUAGAGACCCACAGGGACCAUUACAGUUUCCGUUAAAACCAGUACAAUUCCCAUUAUAACCAUUAAAUCCAUUAUAAAUUCUAUGAGGGUAUUUAUUGGGGUUUGUUUUUUUCUUUCUUUUCUUUAGUAUAACUCCUUGAAUGGAAGAAGUGCUAUUUUGUUUGCUGUUGAUGCUG
ensembl:lncRNA